AUAAAACCUGUUUUGCACACAAAAUGAUAUGUCUCACACACAAAAAAUUGUUUUGCAAACUGUUCGCCAACCUUGCACUCAAAAUAUCAUUUAUAAGUUUUCCUCGAGUACAAAACGGUCUGUGCUUGCACAAAGCAGCCUCUGCUCGAGUACGAAACAAUCCCACCACCGCUGCGGUAAAUUUGUGCCAAAAGUCACGUGAUGCAUUAAGAGUUGUUGUUCAGACUUCCCGACAGCAGGGGGCGCACCCAAAAAAACUGAAACGCACCGGUUUGGGUGAGGAAGAGAGACGUGAUAACACAGCUAACAGCAUCAGCACCCCACAGAAUUAAACGUCUUUGGAGACGUGUGGUGCGCAGGAACUAACAUACACAACAAUGUGCUGCACUCAGGAGAGGACAACAAUUCGCUUGACCUGUCAAACAUGUUAGAUAACUUCUGUUGUCACCAUUUAUUUGUCCCAAGACUACAACUAAGUUUUCACACCAUCAGCAGUGGCUGAGAUGACCAUUCACUCAGAACUGAGGGGAAUCUAACACUCAGUCAGUUAUGGAAGAUGGGAAGCAUCCAGCAUGCUGUGGUAGAACCAGAAAUCACAGAGGGACUCUGCCUGCCUCAUAUUGACUGGGACAACAGUGGACUGCUGAAUGACCCACACUGUGGGGUCACUAUUUCUGAAACUGGCAAUGUGUUGAGCCCUGAACAACUUGGUAGCACUGAGGGCAGCCAUGGAUGCACUGGGACAUUCUGAAUCGCACGGCUCAGAAUAUAUAUAUAUAUAUAUAUAUAUAUAUAUAUAUAUAUAUAUAUAUAUAUAUAUAUAUAUGUGUUGCUACUCUCCAGUAUGACCAACACUUUACGGGUUUAAUCUUAUUGUGGUUACCAUUGUUGCAAAAGGUUUUUAAGUAGUAAAAUCUAGCCAGGGAAAUGUAAC